AUCCUUGGUGAUCGAAGCUCCGGCGGUGCAGGAUGAGCCCGCGGCCUAUCAGCUUGUUGGUGAGGUAACGGCUCACCAAGGCGACGACGGGUAGCCGGCCUGAGAGGGCGACCGGCCACACUGGGACUGAGACACGGCCCAGACUCCUACGGGAGGCAGCAGUGGGGAAUAUUGCACAAUGGGCGCAAGCCUGAUGCAGCGACGCCGCGUGAGGGAUGACGGCCUUCGGGUUGUAAACCUCUUUCAGCAGGGAAGAAGCGCAAGUGACGGUACCUGCAGAAGAAGCGCCGGCUAACUACGUGCCAGCAGCCGCGGUAAUACGUAGGGCGCGAGCGUUGUCCGGAAUUAUUGGGCGUAAAGAGCUCGUAGGCGGCUUGUCGCGUCGGUUGUGAAAGCCCGGGGCUUAACCCCGGGUCUGCAGUCGAUACGGGCAGGCUAGAGUUCGGUAGGGGAGAUCGG
rnacentral:rRNA from 1 species